UGCUUGGAUGUUACUCUAGAACCUGGAAG
rnacentral:piRNA from 1 species